UGUGCUGCUUCUAAACAGUCCGAUUCGGACAACUAUUUUGACUAUUUGACCUCAAAUCAGGUAGGACUACCCGCUGAACUUAAGCAUAUCAAUAAGCGGAGG
rnacentral:rRNA from 1 species